CACGGGGUAGACUAAAUAAGUCUGUGGGCUCAUAACCUGAAAAUAUGCUGAAAGCAUUCCUGUGA
rnacentral:tRNA from 2 species